AUUGAACGCUGGUGGCAUGCCUUACACAUGCAAGUCGAACGGCAGCACGGGAGCUUGCUCCUGGUGGCGAGUGGCGAACGGGUGAGUAAUACAUCGGAACGUACCCUGAAGUGGGGGAUAACGUAGCGAAAGUUACGCUAAUACCGCAUAUUCUGUGAGCAGGAAAGAGGGGGAUCGCAAGACCUCUUGCUUUAGGAGCGGCCGAUGUCGGAUUAGCUAGUUGGUGAGGUAAAGGCUCACCAAGGCGACGAUCCGUAGCGGGUCUGAGAGGAUGAUCCGCCACACUGGGACUGAGACACGGCCCAGACUCCUACGGGAGGCAGCAGUGGGGAAUUUUGGACAAUGGGCGCAAGCCUGAUCCAGCCAUGCCGCGUGAGUGAAGAAGGCCUCGG
rnacentral:rRNA from 1 species